UACGAAGGGGGGCUAGCGUUGCUCGGAAUUACUGGGCGUAAAGGGUGUGUAGGCGGAUACUUAAGUCGGGGGUGAAAGCCCAGGGCUCAACCCUGGAAUAGCCUUCGAUACUGGGUAUCUUGAGUUCGGGAGAGGUAAGUGGAACUCCGAGUGUAGAGGUGAAAUUCGUAGAUAUUCGGAAGAACACCAGUGGCGAAGGCGACUUACUGGCCCGAUACUGACGCUGAAACACGAAAGCGUGGGGAGCAAACAGGG
rnacentral:rRNA from 1 species